UACGUAGGGUGCAAGCGUUAAUCGGAAUUACUGGGCGUAAAGCGUGCGCAGGCGGUUCUAUAAGGCAGAUGUGAAAUCCCCGGGCUCAACCUGGGAAUGGCAGUGGAUACUGGAAAGCUAGAGUGCGGUAGAGGGUAGUGGAAUUCCCGGUGUAGCAGUGAAAUGCGUAGAGAUCGGGAGGAACACCAGUGGCGAAGGCGGCUACCUGGACCAGCACUGACACUGAGGCACGAAAGCGUGGGGAGCAAACAGG
rnacentral:rRNA from 1 species